rnacentral:rRNA from 1 species
CAGCCGCCGCGGUAAUACGAGGGGGGCAAGCGUUGUUCGGAAUUAUUGGGCGUAAAGGGCGCGUAGGCGGUUUGGCAAGUUUGGUGUGAAAUCUUCGGGCUCAACUCGAAGUCUGCACCGAAAACUGCCGGGCUUGAGUAUGGGAGAGGUGAGUGGAAUUUCCGGUGUAGCGGUGAAAUGCGUAGAUAUCGGAAGGAACACCUGUGGCGAAAGCGGCUCACUGGACCAUUACUGACGCUGAGGCGCGAAAGCUAGGGGAGCAAACAGGAUUAGAGACCCGCGUAGUCCCUGUCUCUUAUAC